rnacentral:rRNA from 1 species
UAAAGUCUAAUCUGCCCACUGAUAUAAUAUUAAAGGGGUGCAGUAUUUUGACUGUACAAAGGUAGCAUAAUCAUUAGUCUUUUAAUUGAAGACUUGUAUGAAUGAUUGGAUGAAAUAUAAACUGUCUCUAAUAUUAUUAGUUAGAAUUUAAUUUUUUUAUUAAAAAGUAAAAAUAAAUUUAAAAGACGAGAAGACCCUAUAGAGUUUUAUAAUUAAUUUAAUUGAAAUUAUUUAUAAAGAUAAUUUUAAAUUAAUAAAUUAAAAUUAAGUUAAUUAUUUUGUUGGGGUGAUAAAAAAAUAAAAAUAACUUUUUUUAAUAAAUAUAUAUAUAUAUAUAUAUAUAUAUAUAUAUAUAUAUAUAUAUUGUAAACAAAAAUAAAUGAUUUUUUGAUCCAGAAUUUUUGAUUAUAAGAAAAAAUUACCUUAGGGAUAACAGCGUAAUUUUUUUUUUUAGUUCAAAUAAGAAAAAGAGUUUGCGACCUCGAUGUUGGAUUAAGGAAAAAUUUAAAUGCAAAAGUUUAAAAUUUUG